rnacentral:rRNA from 1 species
GAUGAACGCUGGCGGCGUGCUUAACACAUGCAAGUCGAACGGUGAAGGCGGAGCUUGCUCUGCUGGAUCAGUGGCGAACGGGUGAGUAACACGUGAGCAAUCUGCCCCUGACUCUGGGAUAAGCGCUGGAAACGGCGUCUAAUACUGGAUACGAGCUGCGAAGGCAUCUUCAGCAGCUGGAAAGAACUUCGGUCAGGGAUGAGCUCGCGGCCUAUCAGCUUGUUGGUGAGGUAAUGGCUCACCAAGGCGUCGACGGGUAGCCGGCCUGAGAGGGUGACCGGCCACACUGGGACUGAGACACGGCCCAGACUCCUACGGGAGGCAGCAGUGGGGAAUAUUGCACAAUGGGCGCAAGCCUGAUGCAGCAACGCCGCGUGAGGGACGACGGCCUUCGGUGUAACCUCUUUAGUCAGGAAGAAGACGAAAGUAGACGGUACCGUGCAGAAAAGACGACCGGCGUAACUACGU